rnacentral:rRNA from 1 species
CCUACGGGAGGCUGCAGUGGGGGAUAUUGUACAAUGGGGGGAACCCUGAUGCAGCGACGCCGCGUGGGUGAAGAAGCGCCUCGGCGCGUAAAGCCCUGUCAGCAGGGAAGAAAAGGACGGUACCUGUAGAAGAAGCACCGGCUAACUACGAGACAGCAGCCGCGGUAAUACGCAGGGGGCAAGCGUUAUCCGGAUUUACGGGGGGUAAAGGGGGCGCAGACGGGGAUGCAAGCCAGGAGUGAAAGCCCGGGGCCCAACCCCGGGACUGCUGUUGGAACUGCGUGGCUGGAGUGCAGGAGGGGCAGGCGGAAUUCCUGGUGUAGCGGUGAAAUGCGUAGAUAUCAGGAAGAACACCGGUUGCGAAGGAGGCCUGCUGGACUGCAACUGACGUUGAGGCCCGAAAGCGUGGGGAGCAAACAGGAUUAGAUACCCCAGUAGUC